AUUGAACGCUGGCGGCAGGCCUAACACAUGCAAGUCGAGCGGAUGAAGGGAGCUUGCUCCUGGAUUCAGCGGCGGACGGGUGAGUAAUGCCUAGGAAUCUGCCUGGUAGUGGGGGAUAACGUCCGGAAACGGGCGCUAAUACCGCAUACGUCCUGAGGGAGAAAGUGGGGGAUCUUCGGACCUCACGCUAUCAGAUGAGCCUAGGUCGGAUUAGCUAGUUGGUGGGGUAAAGGCCUACCAAGGCGACGAUCCGUAACUGGUCUGAGAGGAUGAUCAGUCACACUGGAACUGAGACACGGUCCAGACUCCUACGGGAGGCAGCAGUGGGGAAUAUUGGGCAAUGGGCGAAAGCCUGAUCCAGCCAUGCCGCGUGUGUGAAGAAGGUCUUCGGAUUGUAAAGCACUGUAAGUUGGGAGGAAGGGCAGUAAGUUAAUACCUUGCUGUCUUGACGUUACCAACAGAAUAAGCACCGGCUAACUUCGUG
rnacentral:rRNA from 1 species